rnacentral:rRNA from 1 species
AGGUGUGAUCAUACCUGUGUUAAUGCACUGGAUCCCAUCGGAGCUUCGCAGUUAGCACGCUUGGGCUAGAAUAGUACUAGGAUGGGUGACCUCCCGGGAAGUCCUAGUGUUUCACCCU